AGUCUAUGAUGAGGACACCUUCUCAACAUAUUCUUAAAUCUCUCCCAUGCAUCAUAAAGCUUCUCAAGGUAAAGUUGAAUAAAAGAAGAGAUGUCACUCCUCAACUU
rfam:Gossypium raimondii chromosome 6, whole genome shotgun sequence.